UGACCAAAAAGGACAAAAUCUAUGCUACUAUAUCUUAUAUUAUCUCAUACUCAUACAAUGGCUUAGGCCCAUCUAAUUUCACAUUUCUGCUUCUUCAUUCUGCUCUUCUACACUUGAAUUUUUGGAAAACAGUUCAUACACCCUUGAAGAACAAUUUAGAUAAUGAUGUUAAAUAUUAAAUUCAGGAUUCAGAUUACUUGUUCUAAACACAUUUGUGACCAUCUUGCAGUUGGAAGCUCAAGUUCGAAUGCAUAGCAUAGCAGCACCAUGAGACUGGCCUAAAACGAUAACAAAACAGAUGUGUGCCAAUCAAAAGCUUCAUUGCAAAGGUGAGAACCAAAGCAUUUGGGGUAGUCAACUUUUGAAGCUUUGGUAUAAUACUUCAUGUUAAAUAGAUUUGGAAAAGGAAUAAAAACUAUGGAUGACCAGAAGUUAGCCUCCAAAACGUCCCUAAUACAACCUUUGCAAAAGGACCAUUCAAGGCUCCAACCAAUAAGGGGUAAGACUAUGAGCAUCUAUAUGUUUCAUUUCUUCUUUUAUUAGUGCAUGACAUGGCCAAAGGUCAUAAUAGUCGAAGAAUUCAAAUAUGACUACAAAAUUUUUAUGUAGAAAAUACCUGUGAAUACAAGAAGGUUCCGAGGAUGGCAAUAGCAGCUCCUAGAGCAUUAAUAGGCUGAACUGGUGUGUGGAAGAUAAUGAUUGAAGAAACUAUAACAGAAAUACGUUUCAUGGUGUUUCCAAUGCUAAAUGUCAAGGGAGAGAUCUCAUCCAAAGACAUAUAUGACACCUGAUUGUACAAAUGAUAAAAUAUGCUCUGAGCUGCCACCCACCUGUUGUACACCAAGUAGAAGCCAUAUGUUUAAUCAUGAGAGGAAGAAGUGUAGAAACUUCGAGAACCAAAAGAAAAAGGACAAUCACAAAAGAUAAACUCAAUCAAAACAAAAUAACUCAGAAGGUCAAUUUUCUAUUUCAAAAA